CUUAUCAGCAGAAGCAGCCAGCUUGCUGGAAGCGGAAGAGGGAAAGGCUUAGUGGCGGACGGGUGAGUAACGCGUGGGUAACCUGGCCCAUACAGGGGGAUAACACUUAGAAAUAGGUGCUAAUACCGCAUAACAACAGAAAGCGCAUGCUUUUUGUUUGAAAACCAAGGUGGUAUGGGAUGGACCCGCGUCUGAUUAGCUGGUUGGCGGGGUAAAGGCCCACCAAGGCGACGAUCAGUAGCCGGCCUGAGAGGGUGGACGGCCACAUUGGGACUGAGACACGGCCCAAACUCCUACGGGAGGCAGCAGUGGGGAAUAUUGCACAAUGGGGGAAACCCUGAUGCAGCGACGCCGCGUGAGUGAAGAAGUAAUUCGUUAUGUAAAGCUCUAUCAGCAGGGAAGAAAAUGACGGUACCUGAGUAAGAAGCCCCGGCUAACUACGUGCCAGCAGCCGCGGUAAUACGUAGGGGGCAAGCGUUAUCCGGAUUUACUGGGUGUAAAGGGAGCGUAGACGGCAGUGCAAGUCUGGAGUGAAAGGCGGGGGCUCAACCCCCGGACUGCUCUGGAAACUGUACGGCUGGAGUGCAGGAGAGGUAAGUGGAAUUCCUAGUGUAGCGGUGAAAUGCGUAGAUAUUAGGAGGAACACCAGUGGCGAAGGCGGCUUACUGGACUGUAACUGACGUUGAGGCUCGAAAGCGUGGGGAGCAAACAGGAUUAGAUACCCUGGUAGUCCACGCCGUAAACGAUGAUCACUAGGUGUCGGGGGUUAAAGA
rnacentral:rRNA from 1 species